CAAAUACUGAUUGCCAACUUUUGGGAAAAGUUCACUAUCUUUGAUAAAAUCCCAAUAACCAUACUUGCAGAGGCAAACGUAGGUAAAACAUCUUGUUUGCUAAAAAAUAAGAGGAAUAUAUAGGAGGUGAUUCAAUUUUUGAUUACAAGUGGGACGCAUUCAAGGACACAGUAACUACAGACUUUUGCAAUCUUACUUCACAGAACUGUCUUCCAGUAAUUAAUAUUCUGCAAGCACAUUGAUAGCUGGGGAGCUGAAACAAAAAAUUAAUCAAAAGAAAGAAUCAGUCCAACAUUUAUAAUUACAGAUUGUACAUAGAUACUUCAUCUUUUAUUUUAUUUGAAUAUUAACUACUUACCUAAUAAUUAUCUGAUAUUUGUUUAUUGCAA